rnacentral:rRNA from 1 species
UGGCUUGUCUCAAAGAUUAAGCCAUGCAUGUCUAAGCAUAAGCCGAAUAUGGUAAAGCCGCGAAUGGCUCAUUACAACAGCCAUAGUUUAUUGGAUCUUAGAGUCCUACUUGGAUACCUGUGGAAAAUCUAGAGCUAAUACACGCAAUCAAGCCCUAACCUGACGGACUGGGCGCAUUUAUUAGAACAAAACCAAUUGGCUUCGGCCAUAGCUUGGUGAAUCUGAAUAACUACGCUGAUCGCAUGGUCUCGUACCGGCGACGUAUCCUUCAAGUGUCUGCCUUAUCAACUUUCGAUGGUAGUCUAUAAGCCUACCAUGGUUGUAACGGGUAACGGAGAAUAAGGGUUCGACUCCGGAGAGGGAGCCUGAGAAACGGCUACCACUUCCAAGGAAGG